rnacentral:lncRNA from 1 species
UCUUCUUCUGUUACUUCCACCACCGCCACUGCUUCUCCUUCCUCCAUGAUAUACUCGUUUUCGGAUUCUGAUCAUCAAAACGAGAGAAGUUGUUCCAAAAAUAGUGAUAAUGAGAAGAAGAAAAGGCAAAGGAGUAGUGAUAUUGGUGAAGGCAAGAAGCAUCCGACAUACCGUGGAGUACGCAUGAGAAGUUGGGGCAAAUGGGUGUCUGAAAUCCGAGAACCAAGGAAGAAAUCAAGAAUAUGGCUUGGAACAUACCACACAGCUGAAAUGGCUGCUCGAGCCCAUGAUGUAGCUGCACUCGCCAUCAAAGGCC